AUCAAUACUACUCCAUUGCGCUAAUUAAUGUUUUUCUUUGUGCAAUGAUGAUCUAAAAAAGCUUGGUCUCAGUACCCCUUUCCAUUUGACUUCACACUGCCCGUCUGUGAGUUUUUUUUUUUUUUUUAACAAAGCAACAAUAUUAAUUCUAAGUAAUUAAAGAGAGUGUUACAAUCCAAUGUAUACGCAACCAUACAAUAACUAGAUGGGGAGAGAAUUUUUUUUAAUUUGACCGUUUUUUCAUGAUAUAUAUCUGAUAAAUUUUUUUGGCACCAUAGAUCCUUUUAAUUUUUCAAAUUCACCAUAUACCCAGGCCCGGCCCAAUACCGGUACAACCGGUUCUGUGGAACAGGGCCUCACAAAAUUUGGGACCCAAUUUCAGUUGACAGAUGGAGGGGAAAAAAAAAAGAAAGUAUAACUGCUGCAUCACACUAUUACCCGCAAGUUUCAAGAAUCUCCCCAUCUUCUUCUCCAUAUUUCUCUCUCCUCUUCAAUCUUCAUAAAUCAAAAUCCCCAAAAUCUCGUGAAAUCAUUCAACUUCCCUCAAAAAAAUUAUCUCAUUUCCAUAAUUUUAGCCAAAAAUAUCUGAAUUUCAUUACUCUUUCCCUCAAGAACACCACCAAAAAUGGAAUUUUUAACGGGAAUAAUUCUUUUGUGCUAUUUAUUUGCGAAUUGCGAUUCAUAUUCAAAUCCACUCAACUCAUAUCCAAGAAUUCAAUUUCUUUUAUCCUCCAAUUCUCCAAAAAAAAAUAAAAUUCGAACUUUGAUUUACAAAAUUUGUGGGCUAAUUUAUUGUGGAAGUCGAAGAACAAAGUUGGGAACUUUGGGAACUUGAUUGUGGGAGUCCGAAGGUGAAACAUCAGGAAUCUGUAUCAAAGUCUUCGGUUUUAAGAAAGAAGUAUUUCAAAGUUGAAAUUGUUGAAGUCCUAUAUGCGCUCUACAAUGUCACAAGAAAGACUUAAUGGACUAGCCUUGAUAGCAAUAGAGAACGAUAUUUUGGAAAAAAGUUGAUUAUGAAGAUUUGGUGGACGAUUUCGCUUCAAAGAAUGCUAGAAGGAUGGCUUUGUUUAAAUAAAAGAUUCUAAUAGAUUUUUUUUAGUUUUGGUUUAUUUACCAAACUAUAAGGAACGAUUUAUGAUAAAUAAUAACAAUAAAAAAUUUAUAAUUUCUUCUUUAUAA